GUUUGCUUUGGCAGUGCAUACAUUAAAAUUGGAAUGAUACAGAAAUCAGCAUGGCCCCUACACACAAAUUCAGAAAGUGUUCCAUAUGUUU
rfam:Mesocricetus auratus contig055120, whole genome shotgun sequence.